rnacentral:rRNA from 1 species
AUACGGAGGGUGCGAGCGUUGUUCGGAAUUAUUGGGCGUAAAGCGCGUGUAGGCGGUUUGUUAAGUCUGAUGUGAAAGCCCCGGGCUCAACCUGGGAAGUGCAUUGGAUACUGGCAGACUUGAAUACGGGAGAGGGCAGUGGAAUUCCUGGUGUAGGAGUGAAAUCCGUAGAUAUUGGGAGGAACACCGGUGGCGGAGGCGGCUGCCUGGACCGAUACUGACGCUGAGACGAC